UGCAUGACGUGGUAUGGGUGUGUUGUGAUUCGUGCAGGAAAGUGGAAGAAAUCAGGGUGAAAUAAAUGUGCUUUGUUGCGUUUUGUUGUGAAUGAGAAGUCAGAGGUCAGUGCUCUAAUGAGGAGGGGGCUGCGUCAGGUGACGUUAGCGGACCUGCCGGUCGGUAUCGCAAUCGCCUAGGAAACGCUCGCUGUCGUGGGGGAGGUGGGGGGUAGCUGCUAUCAUCUCUGCAUGGCCACACACACCUGAAAGGAGCACUAGAAGAAGCCGCAGAUCAGAGCUAAGCGGAAGCCUGACACCGGAGGAUCCUGGAGGAGGUGCGGGGGGACGGCAGACCGAAGGCGAUUCCUCUCGUUGAAUAACGUGCGGUUCGAGCGACGCGGGGCGUGCGCUCGAGAGCGUUUCCGCGAUCGAUUAAUUGAGACAGAAACGCUGGUGUUUCGGGAACGGUGUGCGAGCUCUUGUGAGCGAGGGAGAUGAGAGGGAUUGUGUGGGAGGCUAAAUUUGCACAUGUGAGCCUUGGACCCACCACUUUAUAAGCACUUUACAUUUUUAAUAUUUUAGCAGUGCUUUUAAAGCUGUGAUCUUACACCGUUCAAUUUGAAAUUGAAAUUUGAAAUUUGGACAUGAGAGCCUUGCAUUAAAGUGCUUACAUUUUUUUGGCAUUUUUUAAAUAAAAUUUUUAGUGUUUUUAGUAAUCGUGUACUUGUACUGUUUGUGCUUGUGUCAUGUGAUGCUGCCUUUCUUAACAUAAAUAUGUCCCCUGUUUUUAAACCUAAGACCAGCCAAAUUUCCCAUGAUGGGAAGGUUUGACUUGACUUAUCUUAGACAGAACCAAUGGGUGUAUAAAUUCCAGGUAUCGCAGGACUGCGAAACUUAGAGGCCCAGAGUGGCCGGUGCACUGUCUACCUGUGGGAUGGGUGCACUGUGUACCUGUGGGAUGGGAGCACAUCACAGGCGUAGGUUUCAUUCCAGCUUUGGGGGAGAUGCAUUGCUGGACCACCUGGUCUCAUAUAGUCAAAUGGCAAGUCUCACAAGCACACCAGCUAGUCUAGCGAGUAACUCAUAUGAAGAAUUUGGGGGUGACAAUGUCUCCCGGCCUCCCCCCAAACCCAUGCGUACGGUGUGCAUUACACUGGACUUUGAACAAUAUUGAGCUGGAAGCAACAGCGCAGGAGAAAGGAGGUUUGCGGUUUGCAUCCCAGUUCUGGAAGAAGACGUCGUCUUAGUGAAACCGGAA